GGCAGUGUAGCAUAAUGGGCAAGGAGUUGGUCUUUUAACCUAAAGGUCGCAGGUUCGAUUCCCCGGUAGGACAUUGCCG
rnacentral:tRNA from 1 species